UUCAUUUUGCCGACCUCAGAGCAGUAG
rnacentral:rRNA from 1 species